UACAAACUUAUAUUCACAAGUAGUGAAGGUCGUUGGUCACGAUCACGUUAAGUUAAAUUCCUAGCAUGAGUAUCAUGAUGUCAUAGUUACGAAUGCUUUGUCAAUGCUUAUGAUUUUCAUACAACUUAAUGAUCUUUGAUUGUAUCUCUGUUAUGAUGUGCAUGUAGGGAACUAUUGAAGAAUAAUUUGGGUUGAUGAUGCGUAUUCCAUCCAAUUCAAUGACAUAAGGAAAAUCUGAGGGUUAAUUAGUGAUGGCACGAUUAAUUUAGGGCAUUGUCAUUCAUGGUUUAUCGAAAAAGCAACUGAAGAUUGAUUUGUAUGCAAGUGUGUCAUGUGUGAAGAAGGACCCUCUAGCUAGCCCAUCAUCCAUUUAAUUCACCAAAUUCGUUCAACUUUGUUUAAUUCUUUAAUUCACUUGUUUUCACUUUAAUUUCGUCCAAAACUCAAUCCCCUUUACUUUAGUGUGUCAAAUUAGUUAGAAUCUGUCUUAGUUUGUGUUUUUAAGUGUUUUGAGUCAAGUUAAAAUCAAUUUUCGUCCAAAGUCAUUCCUAGUGUCUAGUUUGAGUCUAUUUAGUUGUUUUAAGCUGUUUUGAGUCUUUUAAGUUUGUUUCGAGUCAUUAGAGUCUAGUUAAGUGUUUUUAAGUUUGUUUUUGAGUUUUUGAGUCAGUUUAAAGUAUAUUAGCAAUCCCUCCUAAUCCUCGACUUAGAACGAUCCCUACUUAUCCAUACUAUAAUUGUCAACAAGAGGAUUUAAUUUGUUUGUGAAGUUAAUUUUUGCAUCAUGUCCAGGAAUUUGGCCUGAAAGUGGCUAAAUGGCCACGAUCAACUUUUCCCAGAAAUCUCGGAAUUUCUUCCUAACUUUCAAAGUCAAAAACUAACUUGAUCGUUAACCAAACUCAGUGAUUCAAAAGUCAUUUUGAAGUUAGGAAUAUAGAGAACAAGUUUAUACCUAAUAGGAGUCCAGUCGUGGUCGAGGUUGGCCGGAAAAAUGAUCUGAAAGUGACCAAAUGGUCACGGUUUCUUUGUUGGAAAAUUGAGCAGUCUCCCCCUCUCGAGUUUUCUGCGCUAAAAUGUUCGUUCAAAACAUGUAUACGAGAUCAAAAUCAACCUAUAGAAAUGAAAUAAAGGGUCUUAGGAUUUCCCAAGGCUUACCUAAGCCAUGAACGGCCUGAAAAUCGUUGAACCAAAACUCAUAGAGUCGGAGCUUUCGAGUUGGUGAGUCAAAACUCAACCAAAUCGUGAUCUGGUUACAUUGUUGUGUUCAUAGAGUUGAGGGGAGUUCAAUGGUGUAGGUUGCAGGUCACGUUUGAAUGGUUUGGACGUCAGAUGAGAGAGUUGCAGAGAGAAAUGGUUAUCAAGGUUAGAGAGAGAGAAUGAGGAGAGAGAAAGUGAUUUGCGUUUUCUGAUUGGGUGAAGGUUUAUGGAAGCGUGUUCACUAAUUGGGUGCCAGAAUUGAGGGAAGGCACUUGAUUGGUUAGGAGGGAAAAUGGGGAAAAAUGAAUGGAGGAAAAGGAUUGUAACAUCCCACAUCGCCCAGGAAAGUGGAUCCUCUAAGCCUUAUAUG
rnacentral:lncRNA from 1 species